rnacentral:rRNA from 1 species
GCCAUUGCUAUCGGGGUCCGAUUUAGCCAUGCUAGUUGUACGAGUUCAUACUCGUAGCAAAUAGCUUCGUAACACGUGGCCAAACUACCCUACAGAGAACGAUAACCUCGGGAAACUGAGGCUAAUAAGUUCAUACCCGUCCAUGUUGGAAUACAAGGGACGUGCAAACGUUUCCGACGCUUGUAAGACGUGGCUGCGGCCGAUUAGGUAGACGGUGGGGUAACGGCCCACCGUGCCGAUAAUCGGUACGGUUGUUGAGAGCAAGAACCCGGAGACGGAAUCUGAGACAAGAUUCCGGGCCCUACGGGGCGCAGCAGGCGCGAAACCUUUACACUGUACGCAAGUGCGAUAAGGGGACCCCGAGUGCGAGGGCAUACAGUCCUCGCUUUUCACUACCGUAAGGAGGUAGUGGAAUAAGAGCUGGGCAAGACCGGUGCCAGCCGCCGCGGUAAUACCGGCAGCUCGAGUGAUGGCCGAUUUUAUUGGGCCUAAAGCG